AAUAAGCUUCCUAAGAAGAGGCCUCACUCCGAGCCUCAGCGGCACAGGACCCGACGCUUCCCCGGUCCUGCUGGACUCCUCCCAGAGCAGCCGCAGGGUCGAAACCUGGACGAGGUGGUGGUUUCUGUUCCUGUGACUCCUGCUCACGGUGCCGUGGCUCGGCUGCCAAGCCAGAUACUGUGCUGCCUUCAGGUCCUACUGGG